rnacentral:rRNA from 1 species
UACAGAGGGUGCGAGCGUUAAUCGGAAUUACUGGGCGUAAAGCGUGCGUAGACGGUUAUCUAAGUCGGAUGUGAAAGCCCCGGGCUCAACCUGGGAAUUGCAUUCGAGACUGAAUGGCUAGGGUGCGGUAGAGGGAAGCGGAAUUUCCGGUGUAGCGGUGAAAUGCGUAGAUAUCGGAAGGAACAUCAGUGGCGAAAGCGGCUUCCUGGACCAGCACCGACGUUCAGGCACGAAAGCGUGGGGAGCAAACAGG